rnacentral:lncRNA from 1 species
CGGCUUCUCCCGCUGCCGUCUUCGCGCAGGGUUGAGUUUGUGCAUCGAUUGUGAACACAACAGGCAGCAGGCUAUAAUGGUGGUCCUGGCUGGAGUAGUUUUCACAGACUUCAGUAAUCUGUGGAGAUGAACGGGCAGUUCUCUGUAGUUUUCACAGAUCACUGCCAGUUCGUUUUGAGGCCUUCAGGAGUGAAGACCUGGCUCAUCAUCACUCUUUGUUGUUUUGUUAAAUUUAUUUACACCCUACUUUAUUCCAGAGGAAAGGAUUUAACGUAGUUUACAUAAAUGUGUACAUCAGGGUAAAUUAAAAAUAAGUACAGAGAAAAAUAGGACAAAAGAAAACCGUGAGUGUGAAAGAUAAGAUUAAGCCAGCAGUUUUGUAUGCAAAAUGCAUGGUGUAAGGUCCUAUUGGUUUGCUGGAGGUAGGCCACACAUAUGACUCUCAGUUUUCUAGCAACCAAGAAAAAGAUCAGUUGCAAUCGGAGUAGGUGUUUUGGCUAAGCUGGAACUAGGACUUGAAUAUAGCAGCUUGUAGAGUUAUACCACUUGCCCAAAUCUCUUCCAUGAGCCUCUUUAAGUGUAACAGAAUGCCUGGGAGCACGUAAAUGCUCCUACUUAGAUGCCUACUUAGCCUCUAAUUUUCAUGGGGCCCAUGAAUCCCAUGAAAAAGAACUUUGAACCCUGUCCACAAUUAGAGUUCAGGUAUACGCAGACAUGUUUAAAGACAAGGGACACCCAAAGGAAAGAUUGCACAGAGAGAAAGUGAGCAUCCGAGAGAAAAUCACCACAAGUGAGGCAGAGGGAGGCCGGUCUCAGCAGAGUUUUGGAGGUCGUGAGAAGAAGAGAUAAUGUCUGUGCCUAUCAGAUAAAGGCAAACCAGUGCUCAGAGGAACCCAACCAUCUCUGAAUUGAGACCAGAGAGCUGUCUCUAUGGAUAGUCCUUAGAGAAGGCAUUUCGGAACACAGUAAACAGCAGCCUGGUGACUCCGAUUACAGGGCCAGUUGCCUUUGUUACAAUAAAAGCAAGUCAUCUACACAGAUUUUUCCUACCAGGAAGAGCAUGUGCUGACCAACAGACAUGAAUUUCAGCCUGGUAGUUACAACAUUCACAGUAUACCCACAUCACUAAGCUGGGAGGCACAUUUUGAGACCCAGAAUCCUGACACCUCCAUGCCUUCAAAAGGACAAACUGCGGCCUGGACCAGCUGGUGAAACAUAAUUCUGAAUCCUGCCCACAGCCUUCGGUGGUUUUGGAUGAAAGGCCAGCGCCUUGGGAGCCCUGCGUUUGAUUUCAAGUUUUAAGGCCGGCACUGGUGGAGCAAUGAAUGGUGAAAGCUCUCCCCUUAAAGGAGCACAGUUGCCUUUAGGUGACUGCUAACUCAGGCUUUUGCUGAGGACAGUGUUUACUUUGUGAGCUUAAUGACAGGGCUGGCUUUCUGGGAGUGUUGCAAUGAAACAGACUCAGACACAGGCCAUCAUGGGCCUCCUCCCUAGCAAGGCCGCCACGGCUGGCAUCUCAAGAGCAGUCCGUUGAACUUGGGAUUUGGGUGUGAGACACAGUUUCAUCAGAAGAAUUUAAACCAAAGUCUACAUUUGCCCUCUAGAUAAAUGUGUGUGUUCAGCAGCAACCACAACUCCUUGCCUCAUUCUCUUGGUUGAUUAUGUGACUGUGAGAAGAAAAGCAAAAGCAAAAAUGCGAAGCGUAGCUAUGAUGCUAUUUUAGUUAAAAAUAUUCUGGUAGAAUUUGAAGGUACCAUAGAGAUUACCUACAGAUGGAAAAAACUGAAGGUCAGAGAUGGGAAGUGCCUUGUCCAAGAUCACACAGCAUAUAAGGGAAGAAGUAGGACUGAAAUCCAGAUUUCUCUGUUCCUGUUCCUGUUUUCUCUUUUCUUUUUUUGAGACAAGGUCUCACUCUGUCGCCCAGGUUGGAGUGCAAUGGUGCAAUCUCGGCUCACUGCAACCUCCAACUCUUAGGCUCCAGAGACCAUCCUACCUCAGCCUCUUUAGUAGCUGAGAUCCUGGCUAUUUUUUAUUUUUGGUAGAGAUAGGGUUUCACCAUGUGGCCCAGUCUUGUCUUGAACUCCUGAGCUCAAACGAUCCACCCACCUUGGCCUCCCAAAGCGUUGGGAAUAUAGUGUGAGCCACUGCACCCGGCCAGGUCCUGGUCUCUUUUCAUUAUUAUACAGCUGUCAACAAUCAUGGAGAGUUCUUUUUCCCUUUUGUUGGGUUCUUGUUCCUUUGCAAAGUCUAUAAAGAACCAAGAUGAUCCAGGAAAUUCAGGGAGUCCUCAUUCACUUCCAAAGGCAGUUUGUUGUCUGUUGGCUGUGCUGUAUGAAUUGCUGUUUCAAUUAAGUUUUUCAACAUUUCCUAUGAAGGCAUGCAAAUGACCACUGAUUCUAAAUAAACCCAUUUAGGUAUUCAGGGUUUAUAAAUAUAGAGAAUCUUGCUUUCUGCCUCAUUCUUUCUGUCUUCCCUGGCAUUCUUCCCUCUAUCCACCUCCACUGAGAUGCAUUUUUAUAAAAGACUUUACUUAGGACACAUAUUUUGAUGAAAUCCUUAACAUUUUUCUUCUUUCCCAAUUUUUAUAUUAUCAUUGUUAUAAUGCAUUACAAUAAUUUAUAUUUUGCAAAUUUGUUUUAAUAUGUUAAUUUUGCAAUGUAACUAUCUCAAGGCUUCUAAUGAGGAGAGGAGGAGGCCACAGAUAGGACUAGAUAGAGAGACUUUUAAAGAUGUGGGUAGGGUGUUUGUGAAUGUCUGGGCAGUGGAAUAUUUAUGCAGCACUGUGGGUGUUUUGAACCCUCUGGAAACUAACAAGCAAGCUCCACACAUAAACUUGGUGGAAGUCCUCCAAACUUUGGACAACACAGAGGCCUUUCAGAAGUCUGAACCAAGUCCAAGUCAAAUUACA